GACGAACGCUGGCGGCGUGCUUAACACAUGCAAGUCGAACGGAAAGGCCCUGCUUUUGUGGGGUGCUCGAGUGGCGAACGGGUGAGUAACACGUGAGUAACCUGCCCCUGACUUUGGGAUAACUUCAGGAAACUGGGGCUAAUACCGGAUAGGAGCUCCUGCUGCAUGGUGGGGGUUGGAAAGUUUCGGCGGUUGGGGAUGGACUCGCGGCUUAUCAGCUUGUUGGUGGGGUAGUGGCUUACCAAGGCUUUGACGGGUAGCCGGCCUGAGAGGGUGACCGGCCACAUUGGGACUGAGAUACGGCCCAGACUGCUACGGGAGGCAGCAGUGGGGAAUAUUGCACAGUGGGCGGAAGCCAGAUGCAGCAACGCCGCGUGCGGGAUGACGGCCUUCGGGUUGUAAACCGCCUUCGCCUGUGACGAAGCGUGAGUGACGGUAAUGGGUAAAGAAGCACCGGCUAACUACGUG
rnacentral:rRNA from 1 species